GGUCAAGCUACAAAGGGCGCAUGGUGAAUGCCUUGGCAUCAGGAGCCGAUGAAGGACGCGAUAAGCUGCGAUAAGCUUCGGGUAGACGCACAUAGUCAGAGAUCCGAAGAUUUCCGAAUGAGGAAACUCACAUGGGAAACCCCAUGUAUCAUAAAGUGAAUACAUAGUUUUAUGAAGGUAUACCCAGGGAACUGAAACAUCUAAGUACCUGGAGGAAGAGAAAGAAAAAUCGAUUUUCUUAGUAGCGGCGAGCGAAAAGGAAAGAGCCCAAACCAGAGAUUUAUCUCUGGGGUUGCGGACAGAACAUAACGAGAAAUCAUAGUUAAUUGAACACAACUGGAAAGUUGGACCACAGUGGGUAAUAGUCCCGUAAGUGAAAACUAUGAUAAUCAGUUCUGCACCAGAGUACCACGAGACACGUGAAACCUUGUGGGAAGCAGGGAGGACCACCUCCCAAGGCUAAAUACUACCUGAUGACCGAUAGUGAAGCAGUACCGUGAGGGAAAGGUGAAAAGAACCCCGGGAGGGGAGUGAAAUAGAACCUGAAACCAUGUGCCUACAACCGAUCAGAGCACCUUAUGUGUGUGAUGAUGUGCUUUUUGUAGAACGAGCCAACGAGUUACGGUAUGUAGCGAGGUUAAGUACUUAAGGUACGGAGCCGAAGGGAAACCGAGUCUUAAUAGGGCGACUAGUUGCAUGCUGUAGACCCGAAACCGGGUGACCUAUCCAUGGCCAGGUUGAAGCGAGGGUAAAACCUCGUGGAGGACCGAACCACGUUGCUGUUGAAAAAGCAUGGGAUGAGCUGUGGAUAGCGGAGAAAUUCCAAUCGAACUCGGAUAUAGCUGGUUCUCCUCGAAAUAGCUUUAGGGCUAGCGUCGGAAAAUGUGAGUAGUGGAGGUAGAGCACUGAAUAGGCUAGGGGGCAUAGCGCUUACCGAACCUUAUCAAACUCCGAAUGCCACAUACUAUCAGUCCGGCAGUCAGACUAUGAAAGAUAAGUUCCAUGGUCAAAAGGGAAACAGCCCAGAUCGUCAGCUAAGGUCCCAAAGUGUAAGUUAAGUGGAAAAGGAUGUGGGAUUUCUAAGACAACUAGGAUGUUGGCUUAGAAGCAGCCACUCAUUAAAAGAGUGCGUAAUAGCUCACUAGUCAAGAGAUCCUGCGCCGAAAAUGUCCGGGGCUCAAACUUACCACCGAAGCUACGGGUUCACGCAUUAGCGUGAGCGGUAGAGGAGCGUCGUAAUCGGGCUGAAGUCGUACCGUAAGGAGCGGUGGACUGAUUACGAGUGAGAAUGUUGGCAUUAGUAGCGAGAUGUAGGCGAGAAUCCUACAGGCCGAAUAUCUAAGGUUUCCUGAGUAAAGUUUGUCUUCUCAGGGUUAGUCGGGACCUAAGGCGAGGCCGAAAGGCGUAGUCGAUGGACAAUUGGUUGAUAUUCCAAUACCACUAUAAUCGUUAUUAUCGAUGGUGUGACGGAGAAGGAUAGGAUGUGCUAGCUAUUGGAUGCUAGUCUAAGCGUUUAGGGAGUUGGGAUUGGCAAAUCCGUUCCAACAAUUCUGAGGCGUGAUGGGGAAGGUUCUACGGAACCGAAGUAUCUGAUUCCAUGCUUCCAAGAAAAGCAUCUAGAAAGAGAAGUAGUGCCCGUACCGCAAACCGACACAGGUAGAUGAGGAGAGAAUCCUAAGGCCGACGGAAGAAUUGCAGUUAAGGAACUAGGCAAAUUGACCCCGUAACUUCGGGAGAAGGGGUGCCUGAGAAAUCAGGCCGCAGAGAAUAGGCACAAGCAACUGUUUAACAAAAACACAGGUCUCUGCUAAAGCGAAAGCUGAUGUAUAGGGGCUGACGCCUGCCCGGUGCUGGAAGGUUAAGGGGAACACUUAGCAAAGUUUUGCGAAGGUGUGAACUUAAGCCCCAGUAAACGGCGGCCGUAACUAUAACGGUCCUAAGGUAGCGAAAUUCCUUGUCAGGUAAGUUCUGACCCGCACGAAUGGCGUAAUGACUUGUGCACUGUCUCAACUGCAAAUCCGGCGAAGUUGUAGUGCGAGUGAAGAUGCUCGCUACCCGCGAUUGGACGGAAAGACCCCGUAGAGCUUUACUGUAGCUUAGCAUUGAAUUUCGGUAUUGUCUGUACAGGAUAGGUGGGAGACUGGGAAACUAGGGCGUCAGCCUUGGUGGAGUCGUUGUUGGGAUACCACCCUGAUAGUAUUGAAGUUCUAACUGGAUGCCAUGAAACUGGUGACAGGACAUUGUUAGGUGGGCAGUUUGACUGGGGCGGUCGCCUCCUAAAAUGUAACGGAGGCGCCCAAAGGUUCCCUCAGAACGGUCGGAAAUCGUUCGAAGAGUGUAAAGGCAGAAGGGAGCCUGACUGCGACACCUACAAGUGGAGCAGGGACGAAAGUCGGGCUUAGUGAUCCGGUGGUACCUCGUGGGAGGGCCAUCGCUCAACGGAUAAAAGCUACCUCGGGGAUAACAGGCUGAUCUCCCCAAGAGUUCACAUCGACGGGGAGGUUUGGCACCUCGAUGUCGGCUCGUCGCAUCCUGGGGCUGAAGUAGGUCCCAAGGGUUGGGCUGUUCGCCCAUUAAAGCGGCACGCGAGCUGGGUUCAGAACGUCGUGAGACAGUUCGGUCCCUAUCCGUCGCGGGCGUAGGAAAUUUGAGAGGAGCUGUCCUUAGUACGAGAGGACCGGGAUGGACUGACCUAUGGUGUACCAGUUGUUUCGCCAGAAGCAUAGCUGGGUAGCUAAGUCGGGAAGGGAUAAACGCUGAAAGCAUCUAAGUGUGAAGCCCACCUCAAGAUGAGAUUUCCCAUAGCAUAAGCUAGUAAGACCCCUUGAAGACUACAAGGUUGAUAGGUCAGAGGUGUAAGUAUGGGUAACAUAUUUAGCUGACUGAUACUAAUAGGUCGAGGGCUUGACCAA
rnacentral:rRNA from 1 species